AUGGACUGGACCUGGAGGAUCCUCCUCUUGGUGGCAGCAGCUACAGGUGCCCACUCCCAGGUGCAGCUGGUGCAGUCUGGGGCUGAGGUGAAGAAGCCUGGAUCCUCAGUGAAGGUCUCCUGCAAGGCUUCCGGAUACAUCUUCACUGACUACUACAUGCACUGGGUGCGACAGGCCCCUGGACAAGGGCUUGAGUGGAUGGGAGAAAUCAACCCAAAAACUGGUGGCACAAACUAUGCACAGAAGUUCCAGGGCAGAGUCACCACGACCAGAGACACAUCGACGAGCACAGCCUACAUGGAGCUGAGCAGCCUGAGAUCUGAGGACACGGCCGUGUAUUACUGUGAGAGAGACACAGUGUGAAAACUACAUCCUGAGAGUGUCA